UUUCCGUAGGUGAACCUGCGGAAGGAUCAUUAUUGAUUUUAAAAAGAUGUGCUGGCCUUUCAGGCAUGUGCACUCUUUAACAAAACCAAUAUCCACCUGUGCACUAUCUGUAGGCAAAAUUUUGCCUAUGUCUCUUUACAAACAACCUUUGAUGUAUUUGAAUGGUUUAUCAAUAUUUGUAAAACAACUUUCAACAAUGGAUCUCUUGGUUCUCGCAUCGAUGAAGAACGCAGC
rnacentral:misc_RNA from 1 species